CACCGCUUUUCCUGCUGCUUCUAGACUUUGCUACCGUGUUGUGUUUGUGUUCGUAGUUGGAGCGCUGCGAUCGUUCGUGAUGUCGCUUAGUCGGUUUGUCUGCCGCUUAUCGUUGUUUUCGACGUUGUUGGGCUUCUAUAAAUACAGAGCUCAGUUCUUGACGGAAGGCCAAGCCGAUCAAGGCCGGCAGCGACUUCGAGUGCCUCUUCUCCCCCUACGCUGAUGCUGGGCCGCCCUCGCUCCUCUCCGUCGGCCUGCCCGCGGCGGCCGCGGAGACCGCGAGCUCGCAACCUUCCAAUCUGCCGGGCCCCGCCAUCCGGUGUCACGUCGUCGCCAUCUCGAUCUCACAUUCGCCCAGGCCGCCGGCGCCUUUUCUUCCAUCACCACCGGAGGUCUUUGCCCCGCGUCGUCGCCGUGUAGAGGUGCUACCUCGCCUAAGCCGUUGUGAGGAGGCGCCCCUGCUCCUUCCCCCUCCGCGUUGUGUCAACCACAGGAUGGUGCCCUCUCGCCUCAACGAGGUGUGCCCUUUGCUCGGGACUGCGAGUUCAUCGUCGACAACCGCGACGGGAACGUGCAGUACAACCGGUACUACGGCUGCCACGCCGCCGUAGCCGCCGACCACGACCUAUACUGGACGCUGUGAACUCUACUGGGGAGCCCUCUGCUACUAUCUCCGGGAGGGCGUGCCGGACCUCGAUGAGGUAUACGGCGUGCUCGACAGGGCCUGGUCCAAGCCGCAUGAGGAGACAGCCCUCCGCGGGAUCCAACCAUUGGAGCGUCCUCGAUCUCAGGCGUCAAGUUGUGAUGAAUUUGGAAGACACACUAUUAACUUACAUAAUAGGGCGAAAAAACGCAAGCAAUGGCAAGGUAUUAACAACCUAUUUUUCUCAUGUUGCUUACUGAAGGUGAACAACAAGAUGCAUUUUAAUGGCCCUCUUGACCUGCUGUUUAUUUUAGAUUUAGGUUGGUCCAGAUUUUAUUAUUUAUAUGAAAACUGUUAAGUUUGUACUAUCAUGUUCUAACUGUUAAAAUGCUUACCAUGUCAACAGGACAAUGCAAGGUGUUGUUGUGAGUUAUCGGUUUUAGUAUUCAUUCUUUUCUGCAGCACACCAACUUUACAUGGACAUCUUACGUUUUUCUCCCAGUGUUUGAUUUUGAAAGCUUACUUUUCUCUCCCAGUUUAUAUUUUUGAGAGGAAAAAACUUACUUUAUGAAUCAAAAUUUGUAUCACUGUACCUUUUCUUCUUUGUGUGAUGUGUUCCCAUCUCACUAGCUAUGUUUCUCUGUGUUGUAUAUUUGUUUUUCCUUUGAAUGUUAUGAGACAAUGACCAGUCUAAAAGAUAAGUGAAAUGUGUCUACUUUUGCCUGGCUUCUGGCUGAGAAAAUGUUUUCCAAUUGCUAUGUCAUGAAUGCAAGUUAGUCACCAGUCAGACAAAAAAAAACUGCAACAGAUGGUCGUACCUAUUGGUAUUUCUUCCUAUAUAUACAUAAACAUUGGUAUUUCCAGUUUUAUACGCAAACAUUAUCUCGAUGUAUAGCUGAAGUCUAUAUGGUCAUAAAUGACUGAUUCAGGCAUAGGUUCAUGCACAUUAUUUGCCCCAUGUUUGAACUCUAUCAUGUUAACUACUAAUAUGACACUCCCUCGGCUAAUGGUGCCUUUAUAUACUGAAACUAACAGAAAGAAGUUAUCAUUAUAGCAUGCUCUUUGUUUUAUAGAACGGCAUGGCGAGAAUAAAUGAGUCGCAAUGUGUAUUUCUCUAUGCCUCUUUUCAGUUUAUCUUUCUACAUAUAGGGUUGUCUUACCUUAAACCAGUAACAUUUGUUGUAAAUGGACACAUCGUAUCGAUAAGCAUUAGGCGCGGCAUGCCGCCGCGCGGGCUAAGCUAGUUUGCUUCUAGUGGAAGCACGGUUUUGCUUCCGAAUAAAAUAAAAAAACACAAUAUGUGCUUCCGAAAAAGAUGAAAAACUGCAACCGUGCUUCAGGGCUCUGGUUUGUUUCUUCCGUUUUUUCAUAUUUGUUUUUAUGCAUGAA